rnacentral:rRNA from 1 species
AGAGUUUGAUUCUGGCUCAGAUUGAACGCUGGCGGCAUGCUUUACACAUGCAAGUCGAACGGCAGCGGGGGCUUUGGCCUGCCGGCGAGUGGCGAACGGGUGAGUAAUACAUCGGAACGUGUCCUUGAGUGGGGAAUAACGCAUCGAAAGAUGUGCUAAUACCGCAUAUUUYUCAGGAAGAAAGCAGGGGGUSGAAAGACCUUGCGCUAAAGGAGCGGCCGAUGUCUGAUUAGYUAGUUGGUGAGGUAAGGGCUUACCAAGGCAACGAUCAGUAGSUGGUCUGAGAGGACGAUCAGCCACMCUGGGACUGAGACACGGCCCAGACUCCUACGGGAGGCAGC